UAGCAAUACACAGUGGCGCACGGGUGAGUAACGCGUGGGAACGUGCCUUUUGGUACGGAAUAACAGCGGGAAACUGCUGCUAAUACCGUAUACGCCCUCCGGGGGAAAGAUUUAUCGCCAAAAGAUCGGCCCGCGUCAGAUUAGCUAGUUGGUGGGGUAAUGGCCUACCAAGGCUCCGAUCUGUAGCUGUUCUGAGAGGAAGAUCAGCCACACUGGAACUGAGACACGGUCCAGACUCCUACGGGAGGCAGCAGUGGGGAAUAUUGGGCAAUGGAGGAAACUCUGACCCAGCCAUGCCGCGUGAAUGAUGAAGGCCUUAGGGUUGUAAAGUUCUUUUGCAGGGGACGAUGAUGACGGUACCCUGAGAAUAAGCUCCGGCUAACUUCGUGCCAGCAGCCGCGGUAAUACGAAGGGAGCUAGCGUUGUUCGGAAUUACUGGGCGUAAAGCGUGCGCAGGCGGCUAUACAAGUCAGGGGUGAAAUGCCAAGGCUCAACCUUGGAACUGCCUUUGAAACUGUAUAGCUAGAGACUCGGAGGGGUUAGGGGAAUUCCUAAUGUAGCGGUGAAAUGCGUAGAUAUUAGGAGGAACACCAGUGGCGAAGGCGCCUAACUGGACGAGUACUGACGCUCAUGCACGAAAGCGUGGGGAUCAAACAGGAUUAGAUACCCUGGUAGUCCACGCCCUAAACGAUGGAUGCUAGCUGUCGGGAGGUUACCUCCCGGUGGCGCAGCUAACGCGUUAAGCAUCCCGCCUGGGGAGUACGGUCGCAAGACUAAAACUCAAAGGAAUUGACGGGGACCCGCACAAGCGGUGGAACAUGUGGUUUAAUUCGAGGCAACGCGAAGAACCUUACCAGGCCUUGACAUGCCCUCUAUGGGCUCCAGAAAC
rnacentral:rRNA from 1 species